GCAGCGUCGGAGCCACUGUUCUGUCCCAGGGUGUGUGCAUUCUCUCUCUCUAUCCUGCCAUCCGCUGGGCAGGGCAGUGGAAGGAACACAGGCUUUGGAGUCUGGAGUGUGACGGGAGGGGCUCUGGGCUGCACAGGAUUGAUCCAGCACAAUCCUGACUCUGCCUUCACAUCUUUGCACACUCUGUUCCGCCUGCUCACUGUCCCCUCCCGCGGCACUCUGAGAGAGUGCAGGCAGCCCUCGGGCUGGGGAGGCAGCCCCCAAGGGGCCUUGGGACUCUAAGUGGCCUGCGGGAGGCUAGAGUGGCCAGUGAUUAAGGGAUAAAGGCAGCGAUGGGGCAGGAAGAACCUGCAUGGGUGCUGGGCCCAGGGCAGGCCAGACCAAGAGGAGCAAGCCUGGAAUCUGGAGAGGUUUGUUCGUUGGUUCGUUCAUUCAUUCAUUCAUUCAUUUCCCUGGCUGACCCCCUCUCUACUCCGGGUCUCCCCAGGCUUAAGACUCAUGCUCCCUGUAAGGCAGGGGAGGAAAAGCCCAGGGUUGAGAAUCCAGGUCCGUUUUCAAGUCCUGCCCUGGGACAACUGAACCUAGAGGGGAAGAGCAUGGCAAUUAGGAAAGAGCAUAGACAAGGGCAAGACGGUGUGAGUGGGCCUUUGGAGCUGUGUCAGCUGGGAGGGUGGAGCCAGCAUCUGGGCAGAGAGGGAGAAACCUGGGUUGGGCCGCCCUUUCCCACUCUGGGCCUUUGCCCAGGCUGCUCUCUGCUUGGCCUGCCACUCUCUUUCAUGCCCUGUUCAUUGGCGUCCCCCGUCAGUCCCUUCCUGAGCCACCCUCAUCAAUACCCUCCUUCCCCAGGGUACCCAGAGCCCCAAGUACUGCCUGGGUUUGAGCAGUCAACGACCUGGACAGGUUUCUGUCCUGCCUGAGUGUGGUAGUAAGAUCCUCGACUCAAAUCCUGGUUCUGCUCUUCUCCCACUGGGUGACCAUGGACAAGUUACUUCACCUCUCUGUUUCUUCAUCUGCAGGAUGACAGUAGCAGCCUCCAACUCACAGGGCUCUCAAGGGGAUUAAAUGAGGUUGUGCUCAUAAAGCAGAAAACCACACUGCCUCCAAAAGCCAGCCAGCUAGGACACACAUGUUCAUGCACAUCAUUAUUAUUAUUUGUGAGUCCCUUGAGGGCAGGACCUUGUUGUGUGGUGCCCUGCUCACAGUAAGGCAGGGGGCUCAGUGAUCGCUUCUGGAACAAAUGGGCAGCCUGUUCUCCAGUUUAGAUGUGAGCUCUAAUAAAACUAUCAACAACUAAAUAGUUAUGUAUUGAAUACCUCCAUGAUCUUAUGUAAUCUUCACCACCCUGCAACAUGGGAAUUAUUAGACCGAUUUGGCAGAUGAUACAAUUGAGGCUUAGGGAGACUAGACUGCCGGCCUGAAAUCCAGUGAGGAGUAGUUGAGAGAAUUUCACACCUGGGUCUGCCUUUGCUGCACUGUGUGUUGGUUAGGACACUGUCCUGUUGCACCCCUGGAUGAAUGGCCCAAACACCCUCUUCUGUCCCUCCUGGAUGCCCUUCCCAUCCCCUGGCCACCCCUUGGAGUUGCUGGGGUAAGUGGACAUGGAUUUGGGAGCCCACAGUGAUCUGUCUAUCCAUCAGUCCUGUGCCCUGUACCACAUGCACACAGACACGCACAAAUUCGCAUAUACGCAACCUCUGUGGCCACUGAGUUCCCCAGUUCUCCGGAGCCAUGUCUCUGUAACCACAAACCUGUGUCAAGGCCCUGUGAAAUGCUGUCAGUCAGGCUGUUACUGCUCCUCUAUUUUUUGGCCUCAGUUCCCAAGCUGUCAGCACUGGGGCUCACAUAGGCUUGUUACUCAUGGGGUCCCAUGGGGCUUGGGAACUUGCCACCCCCAGCUCAGUGUCCCCUGCACAGUGGGGAUAAGGAAGGAGCCAGCACACUUCAUCAGGCACCAGGGAAGCCUGGAACCUUGCUGGGGGUCUUGGACAGCCUACAUAACCUCUCUGAAAUAUUUGUUCAGUAACCCUCCAACUACACUCCAUUCACUCUCAUUUCCCAGCCAGCCUAGAUUCGAGGCUCAGGUAGGAAAAUGAACGUGGAGGGUAAAGGCGAAGUGCAGGAGAAUGAUGUUCAGAGGAGUCCUGGCUGCUGGGGUCCACCUGGGCCCACUGGGAAGGGCUGCAUAAAUGGUCUGAACCAAGUGAACAGUGGGCCAGCCCUACAUUGUCUUCCCUUGAACUCAAGUCUGGGAGCCGCCCAUGGCUGCACCCAGCUCUGAGAGAGUGCAGGCAGCCCUCGGGUUGGGGAGGCAGCCCCCAAGGGGCCUUGGGACUCUAAGUGGCCUGCAGGAAGCUAGAGUGGCCAGUGAUUAAGGGAUUAAAGGCAGCGAUGGGGCAGGAAGAACCUGCAUGGGUGCUGGGCCCAGGGCAGGCCAGACCAAGAGGAGCAAGCCUGGAAUCUGGAGAGGUUUGUUCGUUGGUUCAUUCAUUCAUUCUUUCAUUCUGGAUGUGUUUAUUCAGCACCUCAUUUGUGCCUUGCAGACCCUGUGCUCAAGGCCGGAAACACAGCAAUGGGCGAGACUCCUGACCUCGUGGAGAUCACAUUCUAAUGGAGGAACACAGACAAAAAAUAUAAUAAGGAAGCAAAAUAUAUUGUGGUCCAGAGUGAUAAGCACCUAGAAGAAAAAUAACACAGGGACAGAAAACAAGGGGUGUAUUUUUUUUUUUCAUUUAUAAAUAAGGUGUCCAAGGAAGGUCUAAUUGAGAAAGUGACAUUUAAGCAAAGACAGCAAGGAGCCCCACUCAGCAACCCAACCAUCCUGGCACUGUCCCUGCUCUUCUGAACUCGACAUCCAGGGCGUCUGGGCUUGAAGCGACUUCACGGGACAGCAUAAGACCAAUGGAUACUUGGAAUUCUUUCCAAUUUAAGGUAGUGGGGAGCCACUGAAGGUUUCUGAGCUGGAGAAUGACUCACCCUGUGCCAGUGACACUACAGAGGAUGAACAAGAAAAGGCAAGUGAUUUGAGGCGGGAAGACCUGUGAGGGGGCUGUGGCCUUGGCCAGUAGGGACAAGACACCUGAUGCUGGAAAAUGGAGUAUCAAGGGAGAUACGUACGGGAAGCGCCGCAGGAGUGACGAAGUGGGGGUGGUGCUGCUUGCUGGGGUUCGACAGCUGGCCACCUCAGAAAACCUCACACCAGACAUGCCUGUUCUGCAGCGUUCCCUGCCUCAGAAUUGCCGCCUUCUCCGUCCCGCGCCACCAGCACCUGGCACCAUCCUGGACCCACUCUCCCCUAUAUUGACGCUGUCUCAGAGUCACUUCGAUUUUGGCUCUCAAAUCCCUCCCCAGGUGCCUCUCCUCUGCACCUGGUUGGCCUCUGCCCCAGGCUGUGACCCGCCUCUCCAGGCCUGGACUAAGGCCAUGUUCUCUUCCUGGCCUCACGCCUCCAACUGGGUACUGCUGGUCCAUCCCCUGAAGAAUGGCCAAAAGGAUCCUUCUGGAACCUGAGUCUGGCAUGCCACCCUCCUAUCCUCAUGGUUUCCCACUGCCCUGAGGAAAGUCCACCCAGCACAGGCCUCCUCAGCUUACCUGCUCCCCUUUGAAGCCCCAUCCCUCCCAGCCUGUGCCCCUCCCUCUCCAAGCCUGAGAUUCUUGUUAUUGCUUCAUUCAUUCGGCUAAGGCUUAUUGUGCACCUCUUCCAUGCUGGCACCAUGCUUGCAUUGAAUGCUGGGAACUGUGAAAGGGAAGAGAAUGAGUCACAGGGUCUGGGAUCAGGUAUGGCCUCUGUGAGGACCAGACAUCCUAGCUGAGAUCCUGAGGAUGAGCAGGACUUGGGGGAAGGGUGUUUCAGGAAGAAAGAAUGUCCAGAGGAACAGGCCUGAGGCAGGCAUGGGCUGGAUUCAUUGCCCCUAUCAGGGCAUCCACUGCCUGGCACCCCACCAUUACCCCAGGAUGGCCCCUUGGGAGGGCCAGAAGCUGAUCCUGGGUAGGUAGCAGGGCCAAUUCCUGAGGGCCUGUGGGGUAUACUAAGGUGUGGGGACCUUGUCAUUAAAAAAAAUAGUUUUAUUGUAAUAUAAUUCACAUACCAUAAAAUUCACCCUUUACAAGGGUACAAUUCAGAGGGUUUUAGUAUAUUUAGAGUUGUGUAAAGAUCACCACUAUCUAAUUCCAGAACACCUUUGUCAUCCCAAAGUAACUUUGU